CGUGUAGGCGGCUUGGCAAGUCGGAUGUGAAAGCCCGGGGCUCAACCCCGGAAUUGCAUUCGAAACUGCCAGGCUAGAGUCUCGGAGAGGAGGGCGGAAUUCCCGGUGUAGAGGUGAAAUUCGUAGAUAUCGGGAGGAACACCAGUGGCGAAGGCGGCCCUCUGGACGAUGACUGACGCUCAGACGCGAAAGUGUGGGGAGCAAACAGGAUUAGAUACCCUGGUAGUCC
rnacentral:rRNA from 1 species